CCGACCGUUUCUAAUCAAACUAGCCACUCAGUUUUAAAGCUUUGUUCAUUAGACUUGUCCAAACCUAAAAACCAGAAUAUUUAGCUAGUUGGCCAGCUUCAGUGUUUUAAAGUGUUAAAGUAGAAAAUUAGACCUGGUUGGGGCCGGUGAAGAAAUGAUAAAUUGUUUUUUCAAAAACAAGUCAUUUAAAAACAUUCCCUGACUCCCAAAAUUAGAAAAAACUAUAGAGAUGGCAAUAACAUUGUCUUUAACGCGGCAGAUCGCUGGUCCAUACGUCGAAUACCUUGCAGUUCUCACGACUCCUCCGCCAAAAUUCGAGAAAAAAGUGGUGAAAGCCCAAGCAAAUCGUUGAUUUAAAGGGUGAUUAAGAAAGCUAAACAUUUAAAACACGAAUAACUAAAAAAGUAAGAU
rnacentral:sRNA from 1 species